UACGUAGGGUGCAAGCGUUAAUCGGAAUUACUGGGCGUAAAGCGUGCGCAGGCGGUUGUGUAAGUCAGAUGUGAAAUCCCCGGGCUCAACCUGGGAAUUGCAUUUGAGACUGCACGGCUAGAGUGUGUCAGAGGGGGGUAGAAUUCCACGUGUAGCAGUGAAAUGCGUAGAUAUGUGGAGGAACACCGAUGGCGAAGGCAGCCCCCUGGGUCAAAACUGACGCUCAUGCACGAAAGCGUGGGGAGCAAACAGG
rnacentral:rRNA from 1 species